rnacentral:rRNA from 1 species
AGCUUUUUGAAAUGUAAAAGGUACCGCCUGCUCCAUGCUUAAUUGUAAAUAGCCGCAGUAUUUUGACUGUGCUAAGGUAGCAUAAUCAUUCGUCCUUUAAUUGUGGGCUGGUAUGAAGGGUAUAAUGAGGGAGUAACUGUCUCUUUUUAAAUUAAUUUGAAUUUCAUUUUUAUGUGAAAAAGCUUAAAUGGUUUCAUAGGACGAUCAGACCCUGUGGAGUUUAAGUCUACCUUACUUUUGGGUUAAUUUAAUAUGAUUAAAAUAUAAGGUGAUUUUUGUUGGGGCGACAGAGAGUUAAAAUUAAACUCUCUCUUUUUUGAACAUGAGUAAAUGGAAUACUGAUCCCCGAAGAGGGAUUAAAAGAUGAAGUUACCCCAGGGAUAACAGCGUAAUUCUUCUAGAGAGUUCUAAUCGAUAGAAGAGUUUGCGACCUCGAUGUUGGAUUGAGAAAUUGGCAGGGUGUAGAAGUUCUGUUAAAGAGUCUGUUCGACUUUUAAAUUCUCACA